rnacentral:rRNA from 1 species
UCAGGUGCCUAUAUCGGCGGUGUCCACCUCUUCCCAUUCCGAACAGAGAAGUUAAGCCCGCCAGAGCCGAUGGUACUGCGGUAACACGUGGGAGAGUAGGUCGGUGCCUAUC